rnacentral:rRNA from 1 species
UACGGAGGGGGCUAGCGUUGUUCGGAAUUACUGGGCGUAAAGCGCACGUAGGCGGCUUUGUAAGUUAGAGGUGAAAGCCCGGGGCUCAACUCCGGAAUUGCCUUUAAGACUGCAUCGCUAGAAUUGUGGAGAGGUAAGUGGAAUUCCGAGUGUAGAGGUGAAAUUCGUAGAUAUUCGGAAGAACACCAGUGGCGAAGGCGACUCACUGGACACAUAUUGACGCUGAGGUGCGAAAAGCGUGGGGAGCAAACAGG